GUAGGUGGCAAGCGUUGUCCGGAAUUAUUGGGCGUAAAGCGCGCGCAGGUGGUUCUUUAAGUCUGAACUGUGAAAGCCCCCGGGCUCAACCGGGGAGGGUCAUUGGAAACUGGGGAACUUGAGUGCAGGAGAGGAAAGUGGAAUUCCACGUGUAGCGGUGAAAUGCGUAGAUAUGUGGAGGAACACCAGUGGCGAAGGCGACUUUCUGGCCUGUAACUGACACUGAGGCGCGAAAGCGUGGGGAGCAAACAGGAUUAGAUACCCCUGGUAGUCCACGCCGUAAACGAUGAGUGCUAAGUGUUGGGGGGUUUCCGCCCCUCAGUGCUGCAGCUAACGCAUUAAGCACUCCGCCUGGGGAGUACGGUCGCAAAGACUG
rnacentral:rRNA from 1 species